UGAGGACAUUUUAUAAAUGGUGCUUGCUGUAUGCAAGUGGAGUCCUUCAGCCUCGGAGGGCAGAAUGCAAAGCGACUGACCUGGGGCCUGGAGAGAUGGCUCAGUGGUUAAGCACUGGCUGCUCUUCCAGAGGACCCAGGUUCAAUUCCCAUCGACCAAUAGGCACCUCACAACCAUCUCAGACUCCAGUUCCAGAGAAUCCAGCCCCCUCUUCUGGCCUCCUUGACGGCAGGCAUGCGUGGGAUAUGGAUAGAACACGCAGGCAAAACACCCGUACACAUAAAAUAAAAAAUACAUUUUCUUC
rnacentral:lncRNA from 1 species